rnacentral:lncRNA from 1 species
GCGAAGGCAGCCUUUAGAAGACCACGUCAGAACCGCUCACCCACCACGCGGAAACCGCACCAAAUCCCACCUAACUCCAAAACCCCCCGAAUCAACCCAAUUCCACCCCGGCGAAAAAGAAGAAGAAAGGGAGCAAAAAAAAAAAAAAAAAAAAGCCAAGAAGUCGAAGAAGCAAGCGCAAUUCCAAGAUCUCUCUGAAAGGCGGUGGAGGAGGCCACGCACCGCCGGCACCGAGCUUCCGUCUCC